rnacentral:rRNA from 1 species
CACCGCGGUUAUACGAGAGACCCAAGUUGAUAAAUGUCGGCGUAAAGAGUGGUUAAGAUUCCUGCCCUAAAUUAAAGCCGAACGCCUUCAGAGCUGUUAUACGCAUCCGAAGAUAAGAAGCCCAACCACGAAAGUGGCUUUAUUAUAUCUGAUCCCACGAAAGCUACGGCA